GUGCUCGCUUCGGCAGCACAUAUACUAAAAUUGGAACGAUACAAAGAAGAUUAGUAUGGCCCCUGCGCAAACUAAUUCUGGCCCCUAAUAAGUUUGUAUGUUUCAU
ensembl:snRNA U6 U6 spliceosomal RNA